CGAAGGGAAGAAUCCCUUUCUCCUCUCUUCUCCAGCCAGCCUACUCCCUCCUCCCUUCCUGCCCCACUCCUCCCUAGGUACGUCCUUAAUGCACCAUGCCCUUCACCACCUCCAUGGUUGCCCUUUGAUUUAGGGCUUUGAGGAAGAAGGAAAGGAGACAAGAAGAGGGAGAACAAGAAAGCUUCCCCAACUUUUCCCUUCACCAAAUCUUUAUGAUUUGACCAUAGAGGUGAGGUUCCCCAUCAUUUAUGACCUCUCAUCCUCUAUUAGUGAUGAUUCACGGAGUAUAGGGUUAGGACUUGAAACCUAUGUGAAGGAAUUGGGGAAAAAGUUGUUCGUGUUGCUGUUUCUGGGCGUUCAGAUAUGGAAACCAGCAAUUUCGAGUUCCUAUAUGCAAAAUUAGGUGGGCGUCAUGUGGAAUGUUUUGUAGGUAUUGUUCCCACUAUCGUUUUGACUGGUAAUUCACUCAAUUUGGUUCAGCCGUUUAGCCGGGGCGAUAAAAACAAGUUGCUGCUCUGUUUCUGCAAAACAGCAUUUCUAUGGUUUUUGCCCAUAGCUUUUCAGGAUCUUCGAGGGCUGAUAAAUUGAUGCUGUACAAUUGUAUAGCUACCUGAUACCUUUUAGUUCAUAGAUCAAUUUUAUUUACUUACUCCCCAUGAGUAUUGGUUUUGCUAUGGAUUUCCAAAGGCGGCUACUCAUUAUUCCUGAAUCUGAAAACAGCAGAGAUGUUGGCCUGAAAGCCGCAGUGACUUGGUGCUGCCUGGUGGCCAUGGCCGUGUGGGCGGCGUGGUAGCCAGGGUGUGGCGUUCGGUGGCGGUGAAUAUUGGUCGGGGUGAAAACCUAUUCUAUCUUCGGAUUCACCGGCGACGGCGAAGCUCGUUCCCUUCUUGAAGGCGUCGCCGCGACUCUCGCUGCCCAUCGUGUUGCUCCGGGGGAAACUCUGAUCCUUGGGUCAGGCGGUGGCGGCGCUUCGGUGUCGUAACCUUCCUGUAGGCACCGCCUUGGAGCCCACGGUGCCUCGUAUGUAGCUUCUUCUCUAGGCGGUGGCGUGUUCACGGUUGAGGCCCCAAGGGCUCUUGUAGUGCUAGGGGUGGUGUUGCUACGCUCAGCACCUAUGUAUCAUGCCUUGGGUAUGUGUGUGUGUUGUGGUGGCAUGUGUUGUACUGGGUUGUUGGUGAUCUUUGCUUUAUAUAUAAAGCGGGGCGAAAGCCUUUUUCGGUAAACAACAGAGAUGUUUUUGCUGGUUUUGACCCCCAUAACCACAUAAUCUGAGGUUUGAAUAGUUGGAGUUAUUUGUAGAUGAGUUCCCCAUGAAUCCAUAGCCAUCUCGUUUGCAUGUUUUAGAGCUUCCUAGCUUGAGCUAUGGUUUUUUCCUUGAAGGGACAGCAAAGGGUUGCUUCCCGGGAAUGCAAUUAGGUGCGUUUUUGUGUGUGCUUUGCAUAGCUUGCUUUGAUGCAAUCUUUAAAACUUGUAUGUAUGUCUCUACAGCAGGUUGCAGCACCAAUCCACCGGAGAUAGCCUCGCGCCACCUCCCUCGCAACGGUUGAGGCGAGUACACCGGGCAACAAGACCUAGAUUGCUCCCUUAAUAUUAUGUUCAUGUUCACGUUAUUCCUUUACAUUCAUGCAAUGGUGAACAUAGAAUUCCCUAGUGUACAUUUCAAUACACCAUACCACUGGUAUGUGAUAGGGAUUGGUUUUUCCUGGUUCUUGAUAACAAAUCCAUCAUGAGUGUCGGAGUAAAUGGCCACGGGUAGCAUAACCGACUACCCCUGGUUCUUCAGAAAAAUUAUCAGGCCUUUGGGCCUUCAAGCACUCCAAGCAUUUGGGCCGCCUUCCCUGGCCGGCUACUACUAAAGCCGACUCCCGGAAGGCGACCCAGCCUCACCAACUCCUCCCCAGGAUGACUACGGGGUGGCCGACUGCAAGAAGACGGCCACGAAGGACGCCGACUCCUAGGAGCCGGCCAAGAACACAACCACUCCAAACCAUUCCCACAUAACGGCAAUGUGACGGGGUGUGGCCACAUUGCGUCCCACUACCCCCGAGGCCCGAGGCGGGCGUGGCUACAGGAGGCCGUACGGGACGGACGUCUCCCGUGCGGCUCGGCACUGUAGCCAUGCUAGCCUCGACGUCAUCCACGACCCACUCCUGUACGGCCCAAGGACUGCCGGCCCCUUCAGCCAGAGAGAGGCGUGAAGGCGGCCCGGCCUUUCCCAGUCGGCCGAGAGCGUAGCCGGCCUCCAGAAGCCGGCUACUCCCUUCCUCGAAGCAGGAGCCCCAUUAAGGAGACAAGACGAGGUAAGGCUACAGUGAUAGCCCCCGAGGCGGCCCACUGUAACCACGCUUACCUCGACAAAGCCCUCGUCAUCACAGGCGAGGCUACAGUAAGAAGCCACCGACAAGACCCUAGGCGGUGGGGCCGGCCUGUCGACCAAGUAGCCGGCAGCCGGCGGGACCCAGCAGCCGGCGGGACCCAGCAGCCGGCGGAGAAGCCGGCGAGCGUAGACACUGACGACUGGGACCAGUUCCCAUUCGGAUUACCAUUGUACCCCCGGGGGGUAGGCCUAUAUAAACCCCCCGGAGCACCCAUGCAAAGGGUUCGCACCCAGGCAUAGUUGGCCUCUGAGCAUAGAGUCGCCUUCUAAGCGUAGCCCACACACCAUAGAUAGAGAGAAGCAAGAGCUAGCCUUGUUCUUCUUCUCUCUUGAUCUCAACAGCUCAAGGAGCGAUUGUAGCCAUCUUUUAUCGAUCUAGUGAUCAUGCGGAGACCCCGCAGAGCAGGACUAGGGGUGUUAUCUCCUCGGAGAGCCCCGAACUUGGGUAAGAUUCGCCGGCGUACAUGUCUUCGCCUCAUCCCGUUUCCAGGUACCGGCGACGUUUUAUUGGCUCCCACAAUGAUAAGCCAUCCCUUGGCAUAUGUCGCACCAACCACCCGACAUUUGGCGCCCACCGUGGGGCCAGGUGCACCGUCGUCCGGAGACCUGUUCUGGACGGGAACCCUUUUCCUCCCCCGCGAGCGCAGCCAGCCUGCUGCGCCCGGUGGCGCUUGCCUUGACGCGCUGCAAGGCGUCGACGACGCCUGUGCAGCGAGCCGCCUCGCCGACCUGCUCGGCGAGACUCGCAUCUCCGACGAGCCUGCGUCCGACACAGGCACCGACUACCCUGAGAGCCGCCUCGUCAGCCUCCUCGACCAGCUUCACGUCUCCAGCGAGCCUACUGCAGACGUGGAGUCGGUCGGCUCCACCGACCCGAUGCUCAUCGACUCCAACACCGCGUCGCUCGACGCCUACCCCUCCGACGUGGUGGUCUUUGACGUCCCCCUCCCUCGAGCUGACAGCGGCAGCAGCGCUGUCACCGAAGUGCUGGUCAUCAGCCACGUCUCCAACUCGGGCGAAAAUGCCCGCGACGCUCAGCAAGCGGCGAUGCACGACCUCUCUGCCCCCAUCCCGGCCGACGCCGACCCCGAGACCCUGGAAGCACGCCGGCUUGCCCUCAUUGCGGAGGGAAAGAAGAUAGCCUCGAUGAGACGCCUCACCGAGGCCCACCAGUGCGAAGUCGACCGCGCCGCCUUCGGCACGCCACCACCUAGCGGCCCGAGCUGAGCCGGCUUCGUCCAGAAGCGCGGCGCAGCCGUUGCCAGCAUGUUGGGCGUAGAUCGCCCCGUCUACGCCACCCCGCUCGAGAAUCUGCAAGCCGCUCAGGCGGCUGCAGAGGAGCUCAAUGGGCUGGGAGCCGAUGAGCUCCCCUACAUGACAAGACGGAUCCAGCAGCCGAUCGACGCGGCUGUAGAACGGCACGAAGCCGGCGCCCGUGCUGAUAGUCAUCCCCCGCGCAGGGAGCACGCCGCGACGUCCCGCUCGCCGACUGCGAGCGGCGCGCGCCAGAAGAAAGACAAGGAGCCGGCUGCCAGCCGCAGCCGGACUCGCAUCACCAUCGAGCGCGACGCGGAUGGCCGCCCUCGAGCUGUAGAGCACCAAGAAAAUAUGCCUCCUCCCCCGCCUCGGAGAGAAAGACGCCUCACUCCGCCGCCUGUCACACAUCCGACUCUUGGCGACCAACUCGGCCGCCGAGAAGGAGUCGGCGAGAACGACGCCCGCCACAGGAUCGACCGCCUUGCUCGAUCCUUCGCAUUAGAAGAAGAAGACGAUGUCGGCCCGCCAUGCUUUGUCCCCCGCAUCCGCGACGAGCCCUUCCCCAAAGGGUUCUCGCUCCCGAGAGACACGCCCAAGUACAACGGCUCGGUGAAGCCGGAAGAUUGGCUCAUCGACUACUCCACGGCCGUCAGCAUCACCAACGGCAAUCGGCGCGUCGCCGUGAAGUACGUCCCCCUGAUGCUGCAGGGCACGGCGCGCACAUGGCUCAACAGCCUCAAGCCCUACAGCAUCAACAGUUGGCUGGACUUCACCGAAGUUUUCAUCCGCAACUUCACCAGCACCUACAAGCGGCCUCCCAAGCCUCGCCAGCUCUCCCUCUGCGUCCAGGGGCCCAACGACUCGACCCGCGACUACCUCACGCAAUGGGCCGAGCUCCGCAACUCUUGCGAGGGAGUGCACGAGGUCCAGGCCAUCGUGUACUUCACCGCCGGGUGCCGGGAGGGCACCCUCCUCAAGCACCGACUCCUCUGCGACGAGCCGGCUACCCUCGAUGAGUUGCUGGUCAUCGCCGACAAAUAUGCCACUACCUACUCCUCCAUGAAGACCGAGCUCCGAGUGGACACCUCGGGGAAAGUAGUUGCUCCGGCUCCCAAGACGCCGGCUGGUGACCCUAACCGGCGCCCCUACCAGAACGACCACAAGCGCAAGGGCCCCAUGCCGACUUCCUCCAGUCGGCAGGUGGCCACAGUUGAAGACGAGCAGCCCGAAGAGCGGCCCGCUCCCAAGAAGAAGGGUGGCCGGCCGCCCUGGCAACCGUCUUUCUCCUACGAACAAGCACUCGAUGCCCCCUGCAAGUUCCACAGCGGCGCGAAGCCGUCCAACCAUACAACACGAAAAUGCCACUGGCUCACCCACAUCACCAAGGGCGAAGGAAUGUUGCCGCCUCCGCCUCCCGGCCCGCCGCCUCCAGCCCCCCAGCAGCCGGCGGCUCGGCCGGCGGUCGGCGCCAUCCAAGACGAGUUCCCCGAAGAGCACGCCGCCUACGUUGUCUUCACAAGUCAGGCCGACGACAAGCGCAGCCAACGCCGGCAGCACCAAGAAGUGAACGUCGUCGCCUCUAGCACCGCCGAGUUCAUGCACUGGUCGGAAAAGCCGAUCAGCUGGAGCCAGGCCGACCACCCAGAGGUCAUGCCUUCGCCUGGCUCCUAUGCUAUGGUCUUAGACGUCACCCUUGCGACGGAGAGGCGAGCUGCCAGAUUUUCCCGCGUCCUGAUAGACGGCGGAAGCAGUAUCAACAUACUGUACCGCGAUACCAUGGACAAGCUGAACAUCAAAGCGAAGCAGCUCAUGCCGAGCCGCACCGUCUUCAUGGUAUCGUACCCGGCCUGUCUUGCUCUCCAAUCGGCAAGAUCAAAAUGGAUGUUCUCUUCGGAGACAAAGAUCAUUUUCGCCGGGAAGCAAUAUGGUUCGAGGUAGUGGAUUUGGAGAGCCCCUAUCAUGCACUGCUUGGCCGACCUGCUUUGGCCAAGUUCAUGGCUGUGCCCCACUACGCCUACCUGAAGAUGAAGAUGCCGAGCUAGAAGGGGAUCAUCACGGUAGCCGGCGACUACAAGAAGUCCAUCGAGUGUGCCAUGGCAAGUAGCCGGCUGGCCGAGUCCCUCGUGGUGGCAGAAGAGAAGAAGAUGUUGGAACGGGUUGUGGCCAUGGCCGGCAAGCAGUCGGCCUUGUCCCCCAACCCCAAGGAUUGUGAUGCGCAGGGCUCCUUCCAGCCUGCAAAAGAGACGAAGAAGAUACCUCUAGACCCGGAGCACCCGGAGAGGUUCGCCGUGAUUGGGGCGAACUUGGACAGUAAAUAGGAAGGCGAGCUCGUCGACUUCCUCCUUGAGAAUCGAGACAUCUUUGCAUGGUGCCCAAAGGACAUGCCAGGUGUCCCGAAGGAUUUCGCCGAGCACAAAUUACAUGUCCGAGAUGAUGCGAAGCCGGUCAAGCAACCCCUCCGCCGACUGUCAGAAGAGAAGCAAAGAAUCGUGGGAGAAGAGAUAGCCCGGCUCCUUGCAGCAGGCUUUAUCAUGGAAGUGUUCUUUCCAGAGUGGCUUGCCAACCCAGUUCUGGUUCUGAAGAAGAAUAACAAGUGGCGCAUGUGUAUAGACUACACGAGUUUGAACAAGGCCUGCCCAAAGGAUCCGUUUGCUCUGCCACGGAUUGAUCAAGUGAUAGACUCCACAGCCGGCUGCGAGAUGUUAAGUUUUUUGGAUGCAUACUCAGGGUAUCACCAGAUCAAGUUGGACCCUGCUGACCGCCUGAAGACUGCCUUCAUCACACCCUUUGGAGCUUUCUGCUACCUGACAAUGACAUUUGGCUUGAGAAAUGCCGGUGCCACUUUUCAGCGUUGCAUGCAGAAAUGUCUCUUGAAACAACUCGGCAGAAAUGCCCACGUCUAUGUAGACGACAUUGUGGUGAGGACACAGAAGCGCAGUACCUUGCUGGAAUCAAGCUCAAUCCCGAGAAGUGCGUGUUCGGAGUGCCAGCCGGCCAGCUGCUAGGCUUCCUGGUCUCCGAACGCGGCAUUGAGUGCAACCCCGUCAAGAUCAAGGCCAUCGAGAGGAUGGAGAUUCCCACCAAACUGCGAGAUGUGCAGAAGUUCACUGGCGGCUUAGCCUCCCUGAAUCAUUUUAUCAGCCGACUAGGAGAGAAGUCCCUUCCCCUGUACCGACUCAUGAAGAAGUCCAGUCACUUUGAGUGGAAUGAUCAAGCCGACCAAGCCUUCCAUGAGUUGAAGAAAAUGUUGACCACUCCGCCUGUCCUGGCUGCGCCGACUGAGAAGGAGCCCAUGCUCCUCUACAUCGCCGCGACUAGCCGAGUCGUCAGCACUGUUGUUGUGGUCCAGCGCCCGGAGGAAGGCCGAGCCCAGCUGGUCCAGAGGCCGGUCUACUACCUCAGCGAAGUACUAUCCAGCUCAAAGCAAAACUACCCGCACUACCAAAAGAUGUGCUAUGGGGUGUACUUCGCUGCCAAGAAAUUGAAGCCCUACUUCCAAGAGCACCCCAUCACGGUUGUGUGCACUGCCCCGCUCGCCGAGAUCAUAGGCAGCCGGGAUGCAUCCGGCCGGGUGGCCAAAUGGGCCAUUGCCUUGGCGCCCUACACGAUCUUCUAUCAACCCCGCACCGCCAUCAAGUUGCAAGCACUGGCCGACUUCCUCGUCGACUGGGCCGAGACCCAGUACUUACCGCCGGCUCCCGACUCUACUCAUUGGCGGAUGCACUUUGACGGGUCCAAGAUGCACACCGGCUUGGGAGCCGGCAUCGUCCUCACCUCUCCCAAAGGCGACAAGCUCAAGUACAUGCUGCAGAUCCACUUCGCCGCCUCCAACAAUGUGGCCGAGUAUGAGGCGCUCGUACAUGGGCUCCGGCUAGCCAAAUAACUCGGCAUACGCCGGAUCCUGUGUUACGGUGACUCAGACUUAGUGGUCCAGCAGUCAUCUGGCGACUGAGACGCCAAGGACGCGAACAUGGCAGGCUAUCGAUUCCUUGUCCAGCAGAUAAGCGGAUAUUUUGAAGGGUGCGAGUUCCUUCACGUGCCAAGGGCCGACAACGACCAAGCUGAUGCCCUAGCACGGAUCGGCUCCACCCGACAAGCCAUACCGACUGGCGUCUCCCUCCAGCGCCUCCUCAAGCCGUCCAUCAAGCCGUCUCUGGAGUCGGAUUCCAUCUUCGUACCGCCUGCGCGAGAAACAGCCGGAUCCGACUCGAGAAAUCCCGCAGGCGGCACGGAGACCUCGAUGACUGGCCCGGGGACUGCCGUAGUCGCACCCGGUCCGGGGACUUCAGAACCCGGCCCGGGGACUACAGCAGUCGGCCCGGGGACUACAGCAGUCGGCCCGGGGACUGCAACGACACAAGAAGCAGUGGCCGACUCCAAUUGAACACCCAACCCACCCACCCGAGUCAUGGUGGCCACAUUAACAGAAGAAGUCACAGCUCCCUCAUGGGCCCAGCCCCGUCCUCAAGUUCCUAGUCAGCAGAGAGCUGCCGGCUGAUGAGAUCUCAGCAAGACUAGUGCAACGACGAGCCGCAUCAUACACAAUAAUCAACAGAGAGCUUGUGAAGCGCAGCGUCACUGGAGUCUUCCAGCGUUGUGUCGAGCCAGAAAAAGGAGUGGCAAUCCUCAAAGACAUCCACCAAGGCGAAUGCGGCCAUCACGCCGCUUCAAGAUCCCUCGUCGCCAAGGCUUUCCGCCAUGGUUUCUUCUGGCCAACUGCCUUGGAGGAUGCUAAAGAAAUAGUCAAGAACUGCAGAGGAUGCCAAGUUUUUAAUUCCAAGCAACACCUGCCGGCUUCUGCCCUCAAGACCAUUCCCCUCACUUGGCCUUUUGCCGUCUGGGGACUGGACAUGGUGGGCCCCUUCAAGGCAGCCCGCGGCGGCCUGACACAUCUACUCGUUGCUGUGGACAAGUUCACAAAGUGGAUUGAAGUCAAGCCGAUUAAGAAGCUGAACGGGCCGACUGCCGUGACAUUCAUCACCGACAUCACUACUCGGUACGGUGUGCCGCACAGCAUCAUCACCGACAACGGCACGAACUUCGCCAAAGGCGCACUGGCACGUUUCUGCGCGACGCAGGGCAUCCGACUGGACCUAGCAUCCGUUGCCCAUCCGCAGUCAAACGGCCAAGUGGAGCGAGCAAAUGGACUCAUCGUCUCCGGCAUCAAGCCCCGACUGGUUGUACCACUCGAGCGAUCGGCCGGCUGCUGGCUCGAAGAGCUGCCGGCCGUCCUCUGGAGUCUGCGCACUACACCCAACAAGUCAACCGGCUUCACUCCAUUCUUUCUCGUGUACAGUGCCGAGGCUGUCAUCCCCACGGACAUCGAGUUCGACUCGCCUCGGAUCACCAUGUACACGGAGGAGGAAGCCAAAGAAGCAAGAGAAGACGGCGUUGACCUACUGGAAGAAGGCCGGCUGUUAGCCCUCAGCCGGUCCGCCAUCUACCAGCAAGGGCUGCGCCGCUACUACAACCGCAAGGUCAAGCCAAGAUCCUUCCAAGAGGGUGACCUUGUGCUCCGGCUGAUCUAGCGAACAGCCGCCAGCACAAGCUCUCGGCCCCUUGGGAAGGCCCCUUCGUCGUCAGCAAGGCACUCGGCAACGACUCCUACUACUUGAUCGACGCGCAAAAACCAAGAGCACGCAAGAGAGAUGACUCCGGCAAGGAGUCGGAGCGACCAUGGAACGCAAACCUCCUGAGACGAUUUUUCAGUUGAAAAGCAGUAUGUAUCACGCUCCCCUUUUGUAUUAAGAACAAACCAACAGGCCCCCCGAACAGUACUCGGGGACUGCCUUUGAUUAUCUAUGAAUGACUAGUGUCAUAUCCAUGAAUGUAUUAUUACAUUUCGAAUUUUUGUCCGGCACCGGGUUCGACUAGUCGGCCCGGGGACUGGCCGCCUUGAGCUAUAUCGCAAGUUUUUCCUAAAGACAGAAAAGUAGUGCGCCGGCUCCCAAGUCCUCCUUGUUGAAAGUCGCAGCUCAAAGAACUGACUGUCCGACUAGCAAGAGAGAAGACAGAAAGGACGUUUGCACGAAAAAUGGCUAAGGAACAACUAACCUAUAAAGCAAAGAGACGGCCUCCAAAUAUGCCUGCCGGCUGUCAAAACAGCCGGCUGGCCGGCUUCCUAAAAAAAACUUAGCUUUAGUCCAGCAGAGGUAAAGUACUUCCCCCUCCCCAAUCGGCCAGGCACUCCCCGGCUACAGAUUGCAGAGCAACUGUUUGACUGGGGAGGCGGCAACCAAGGGAGGGUGGCAAAGGAAAAAGCAGAAGGACAAAAAGCAAAAAGUACAAGGAAAGGCCGAUUGCAUAACUUAUAUACAUAAAGCCCCCAACAGGCGGCAACAGACUUGAGUUUGAAUACACCCAGUGGAUGGAAUUGUGCAGACUUAACCAAACAUUGUUCAAAAGUAACAAGACAGGAAAACAAAAGAAAGAAGACUAGGGCGCGACAUGAAGGCCGAGCUGGUCGGUGAAGGCGACCCCGCCGGCUGAAGGAGUGGCCGCCUAGCUGGUCCCGGCUUGACCACCUCCUGCGGCAGGAGACGCACUCACGCGCGACGUAGUACCGGAAGCGCGGUCAGGCUGGCCGGCUACCCCACCAGCCGGCUCGGCUUCUUCACCCUCCUCCUCCUCCUCGCCCUCGUCGCUGGAGUCGAUCUCCUCCGCCGAGUCCUCGCCGUACACCGGGUCCAGCCCGAACCAAUCUUCCGGCUGGGCGACUCCAUUAUCAUCCACCUCGGGGGCGAAGACGUUGGUGUCGGUGUAAUCGGCGAUCGCCGAAGCCCGCCGAAUGAUGGCCGGCCGCGCCGGCUCCAGCUCCGUGUCGGCUUGCUGCCGCCAAGUAGCCAGCUGGUCCAGGUUCAGGCCGGGAUACCAGGCCUUGACGAACUCCAGCGCCUGCCUGGCACCGGAGCGAGCCGCCGACGCCUUCCAAGCCUCGAAGCGGCCGACUGCUACCUCCAGCCAGUCAGCGGUCCGACUGGGGGUGCGAGGGACCGCUUGGCCGGGCCAGAGGGUGGCCAAGACCUGCGCCCCGGCACGCUGAAGCCGGCGGAGCAGCCGGUGAGCCGGCUGGAUGCGAGCCUGGAUCGCCAGGAGUUGUUCCUCUAGCGAGCGGCCGGCAGUUGGCGAGAUCUCGAAGCCGGCCUGCCUCUUCGCUUGGCGACGGGCCUCGAUGGCCUGGUUGGCGGCAGUCGAAUAGCCAGGGAAAUACUCUGCGCGAAGAAGAAAGGAAGAGAAGAACACCAAAAUUAGAAAACAAGCCAAAGUGGCGGAUGGCAAGAAAGGACGAAGAGAUAGACGACUUACCGUCAACCAGAUCCUCGAUCUGGCCAUAGCCGGAGACCAGAGUCUGCCUGGCCUCUGCCCAGCCGGCCGCCUCUGUCUCGAACUCGGCCUGGAGAGUGGCCUCGCGGUCCUGCGCCGCCUUCAGUGCCGCCUUGUGGCUUUCCUCCUGGUCGGCUAGCUUCUUGACCAGGCGGUCGCGCUCCUGCACCAAGGCGGCGAGCUCGGCGUCCUUGGCACGAAGAGCAGUCUGGGACUCCCCUAGUUGUGCCCUCAGACUCGCGCUGGCCGCUGCAGAGACGACAGAAGAAGAAGAACAAUAAGAAAUCGUCAAGGAAGAUCCGAGCCGACUGCUCAGCAGUCGGCCCGAAUCUCGGGGACUACACCCAGUGGGUGCGCUGACGCGCCCCCACAUGAGAUAAAGAUCAAGUCACCUACGUCGGCUCUCAGUAAGGUCGGCGGUCUUCUGAGUCAGCUCCCGAGCCUGGGAGUUGAAGGCGGCCGCUCGGAGGUUGUGGUAGUCCUGCAAGACGGACAGAAGACCGAAGUGAGAACAAAAACAGCAAAGACAAAACCUCCAAGAAGUUCCAAGCCGCCUGCUCAGCAGCCGACUCGGAACUCGGGGACUACACCCAAUGGGUGCGCUGACGCGCCCCCACGAGAGAAAGCAAAGUCAAGAAGAAUCAAGACGGGAGUACUAACCCGGAUGGCUGCCCGCGUUGCGAGGAAUUCGUCGGUGAACUGCCUCAGCGCCGCGGCUUGGCUUUGGAGUCGGGUCCGGACGUCUUGUGCAGCGACGUUCACCAUGGCUGUCCCUCCGCCCGGCGUCCAGCCCGAGGUAGCGCUGGCUGCCUCCGCGUCUCGGGCCGACGAGCUGGAGCCCACGGCCGGCUGUGGCUCCGACGCGGCCUUCUGCGGCACCGACGCGGCCUUCCCUGCACGCCGGCUUGACGAAACCCGGACCGCCACCUCAGCCCCCGCGGCCGGCUCGCCCUCCGCUGACUGUGCGGGCGCAAGCUCAGGCUGACCGCAUUGGGCCGCCCUAGUCGGAGGGGUCGGCUCCGGCGCCUUCUCCAAGAUGAUGACGUCGUCGCCGCUUCCUCCCAGCCCCGGCUGAGAACCGCUGGCUCCCCCUGGCGAGGGCUCCACGUCCCCAGGCGCCAUGACACGCAGGGGGGUGACCAUCAAGGCCUCCCCUGCCGCCGCCGCGGCCUCAGCCUCUGCCUGAGACUUGGCUGCGGCCUCGGCGAGCGCCUUUGCCGCCUCUUCCUCCCGAGCCGCCUGGGCGGCGGUUGCCUUCCGUGCCUCCGCCUCCCGUGCCUCCUGCUCCUCCCGCGCCUCCCGCACGUUCCUUUCCGUCGCCUCCUGGAGGGCGGCGCGGGGGUCCACGCGGCGGGUGGUGCUCCCAGAGCCCCCUGGCGACUCGAUGACGGAGCCAGCAGCGGCCCGCUCAAGCGUCAGGGGAGCCCUGAUUGUUGAAGAAGAAGACAGAGGUUCAAGAACCACCAAAGAAAAGAAAGAAAGAGAGUACACAGAGAAAGAGAACUUACGCCGACACGGCCUGUGGCUGCUUCACCACUUUGCGGAAGCGAGCCGCCUUCGCGGCCGCCUCUUCCCGCCUGGUGGCUGCCGCCCCGCCCCUGGGCUUCUUCGUUCGGCUGCCGAACAAGCCCUGGCCGGCGCGACGCUUCUGGCCUCUACCCCGAGCAGGCUGCGCGCCGGAGGAGCCCGCGCCGCGUCCGGAUGCCGGCUGGCGGCGCGGGACGGCUUCGGCUUCAUCCUCGUCCGGCCAGUCGUCGAAGGUAGCAGUGAACCCGGAGCCGCCUGCUUCGUCGCCGGCUGGGCCACCGCCCGGCUCGACGGCGUCGUCCAAAUGGACCGCCCCCAGGUCGGGGUCCUCCAGGUCGUGUUCGGUCCGGUCGGGGACGAAGCGGCGCUCCACGUCUGACCCGCCGGCCGGCCGAAGCAGAGGGCUCUGUUGAAGAACAAGCCGACUAAGUCAGAGUCGGCCAAGAAAUACUCGGCAACAAGGCUGAGAGAGAGAGAGAGAGAGAAAGGGACAAGGGGAGCGUACCGUAGGCGAAGGAUUGGCUCGGCUAUACGGCUCCUUGCCGAACUGCCAAUCUUCAGUAAAUUGGCAGUUUGCGAGGUAAUUCACCAUGUAGGCGGCAUCGUGGCGCGGCAUCUCCUUGGUGCACAUGCGGCUCGGAUCGAGCUGGCCGCUCAUCUGACAGAUCAGAUGAGGCCGGCUCUGGAGCGGAAGGACCCGGCGCGUGACGAACUCGGCCAGGAGGUCGGGCCCCGUCAGGCCCUCCGACUAGACCAUCACCCGCAGUCGGGCGAUGGCGGCGUUUCCUGCCUGCGACAGCGUCACGGCCCGGAAGGACCACUGGGGCAGCCUGCCCGCCGGUGGGCCGGCUACGUAAGCCGGCAAGUUGAUGUAGUCGCCCCGUGGAGCGAUGUUCCGCACGUAGAAGUAUGACUUCUGCCACUUCUUCACUGAUUGGAUUAGCGUGAUGACGGGGAAGGGGUUGUCGGCGCCCGAUCUCCGCGACGCGAUGAAGGCGCCAGUAUGAGCCGGCACGCCCUUGCUGCGCGUGCCCAGCUUCCUCUGGAAGAGCUCCCCCAGAGCUCAAGGGUGGGGAGGACGCCGAGAUAGCCCUCGCACAGGGUGACGAAGGCAGACAGCAGCACCACCGCGUUGGGGGUGAGAUGGUGCGGCUGGAGCUGAUAAAAUUCGAGCCAGGAGCGGAAGAAGGCGCUCACUGGCAGGCCGAAGCCGCGCAAGAAGUGCGAGCGGAAGACCACCCGCUCGCCCUCCUACGGCCUCGGCCUGAUCUCCUUCGCCGGUGCAAGGCGGACCUCCACUUUGUCCGCGCCGGGCAGCCGCCGCGUGUCGCGGAGGAAGUCGAUGUGGUCGUCAUGGACGUUGGAGCCGUCCCAAUCCCCGCCAAGCUGCUCUACGUGGGGAGGCAUGGCGAAAGCUAGCACGGCGGCGGAGGAGCGUGCGGUGGAAGAGCGCGGCGGCGAGGCGCUGUCGCGAGAACGAGCGAGGGAAGAAGACGGUGGAAGUAGGAGGAGCGUGCGAGGGCCUGCCGUCCUUCACCUCCCCCUACUUAUAGCCUCACGAGGCCGAAGAGGCCGGACGUGGGGGGGACGUGGGAUUAACUGCGCCCACUCCCCCCACGUCUCGCGAUUAUUGCGCAUAAAUGCGAGCCGAAACUACCGCACGGAACGUGCAGGCGGUUUCGGGACACAAAGGAUCCGCGCCUGGGCCGGGGCGCGGACGUGGCGGGCCCCCUCCCUGCGGCGACGUCCCGUCACGCGCGUGGGCUGGCAGGCUUUCCGGCCACGUGGCUCGCCGACGGCCCGUGGCCGGCCCGCGGCCCGGCGCACGUGCCAGCAGGGUUCCCGCCCUCCGACUCCGGAAGAUUUCGACUCAGGCGGUACGCCUGACCAAGGCCGGCUCCCAGCUGCCGGCUUGUCACGAUAGGAAGCUGAUCGAGCUUCUCAAACCCCACUCUGCCUUGAAGCCCAAUCAGCUUCGGGGACUACUGUCGGAGUAAAUGGCCACGGGUAGCAUAACCGACUACCCCUGGUUCUUCAGAAAAAUUAUCAGGCCUUUGGGCCUUCAAGCACUCCAAGCAUUUGGGCCGCCUUCCCUGGCCGGCUACCACUAAAGCCGACUCCCGGAAGGCGACCCAGCCUCACCAACUCCUCCCCAGGACGACUACGGGGUGGCCGACUCCAAGAAGACGGCCACGAAGGACGUCGACUCCAAGGAGCCGGCCAAGACCACAACCACUCCAAACCAUUCCCACAUAACGGCGACGUGACGGGGUGUGGCCACAUUGCGUCCCACUACCCCCGAGGCCCGAGGCGGGCGUGGCUACAGGAGACCGUACGGGACGGACGUCUCCCGUGCGGCUCGGCACUGUAGCCAUGCUAGCCUCGACGUCAUCCACGACCCACUCCUGUACGGCCCAAGGACUGCGUGCCCCUUCAGCCAGAGAGAGGCGUGAAGGCGGCCCGGCCUUUCCCAGUCGGCCGAGAGCGUAGCCAGCCUCCAGAAGCCGGCUACUCCCUUCCUCGAAGCAGGAGCCCCAUUAAGGAGACAAGACGAGGUAAGGCUACAGUGAUAGCCCCCGAGGCGGCCCACUGUAGCCACGCUUACCUCGACAAAGACCUCGUCAUCACAGGCGAGGCUACAGUAAGCAGCCGCCGACAAGACCCUAGGCGGUGGGGCCGGCCUGUCGACCAAGUAGCCGGCAGCCGGCGGGACCCACCAGCCGGCGGGACCCAGCAGCCGGCGGAGAAGCCGGCGAGCGUAGACACUGACGACUGGGACCAGUUCCCAUUCGGAUUACCAUUGUACCCCCGGGGGGUAGGCCUAUAUAAACCCCCCGGAGCACCCAUGCAAAGGGUUCGCACCCAGGCAUAGUUGGCCUCUGAGCAUAGAGUCGCCUUCUAAGCGUAGCCCACACACCAUAGAUAGAGAGAAGCAAGAGCUAGCCUUGUUCUUCUUCUCUCUUGAUCUCAACAGCUCAAGGAGCGAUUGUAGCCAUCUUUUAUCAAUCUAGUGAUCAUGCGGAGACCCCGCAGAGCAGGACUAGGGGUGUUAUCUCCUUGGAGAGCCCCGAACCUGGGUAAGAUUCGCCGGCGUACAUGUCUUCGCCUCAUCCCGUUUCCAGGCACCGGCGACGUUUUAUUGGCUCCCACAAUGAUAAGCCAUCCCUUGGCAUAUGUCGCACCAACCACCCGACAAUGAGUGAAUCUUCCAAGUUCAAGGAGUGAUCCUCGCUUCGCGAGUGUAUGGUCCUUCCGGUCCGUCCUCAUGUUAUGGUCCUCUCACUUGGUGAGGGUUGAAAAGGAGUGAGGUGAGACGUCGCCCCUCCUCAGCUUGCCAGCAAAAGCUUAGAGCCUAGUCCUCGGUCUUAUUUGGCUGCAUCAUUUCUUCAUGUUUUCUCAUGCCAUUCCAAGCAUGGAAGAUUCGAGUAUAGUAUUUACUUGAUCAAGCAUGGUUCAUAUUCAUGGUAUUACUUGCCAUUUUAUUACAUGCUUUGUUGUGUACUCGCUGAGUCUUUGGACUCAUCCCUCGUGGACUUUGUUUCAGGUACAUCACCGUGAGGCUUUUCAAGUAUUAGGAAGGGCGUAGCUCCCAUGGGUGUUCACUAACACAUUUCACAUCCCUUCCAUCCACCUAGCUGAUCAUGAUAACUCUCAUACUUAGUUCAUGAUUCUUGGUAGCUAGGAUCUACUUGUGGUGUAUAAACUUUGCCUUGGUUUGUUUCCAUGAUCACUAUGUUUACCUGUCAAGGUGGGUUGGAGUUAACUAGUCCCCACCUUGCACCAUGGUGUGUUGGAACGUAUGUUUUCUUUGCUAUGUGUAGCAUAACGGUUGGUGGCUUCACCACUUUGCUCUACAUGGGUUGUAGGAGCUUGUUGGAUGCUUUUGUUUGCGAUAUUAUUAAUAUAUGCUUUGUUUUUUCAUUUGCCUGUCAUGGAUGUCCGACGGCACAAAGGAGGUGCUGCCGGAUUUUCUCACGAGCAUGUUUGGUUUGUUUACGUUCUUGGUGGUAACGUUCCUUUCUACAAGGAGGGGUGUUAUAGUUGGUAUCAGUUAAGCUCUAUCUUUGCUAUACAUGCGUAAGCACGUAUACCAAAGAAAGAUCCUUGGACCUUUCAAAUGCUUGCUUGCUAGAUAUAAUUGUUUGCUUGUUAGUGUAAAAAAAAUUGACGAGGGCGUCAAUUCUGUUGAGAUUGGGUGAAAUACCCCAAUUCUCUUACUAGUAUGUUGUUAGGUUCUUUCUAAAUAAAAAACUUGAUUAGAUGGUUCAAGAAAACAUGAGACACUUGUGCACAAUAGGAACGAUCUCUUUAGUUUGAUACUUGCAAGCCUUGUUCUAUGUGCAUAGAUUGCUUGUUGUGUUUUCUAAUGCAUAUUAAGUAGUCUGGUGUUCGAGUAGUACUCGUUUCUGGGUCUCCUGGGUUUAUAUUUCAAUGAUUCCAGUGUCAAGUAUGAGCUUGUAUCUUUACCCGGCUGUCGUGGAAUUGUCACGGCAGAUGUCCUAGUGUGAGGACUUAGUCGUGAGGCCAGCACAUCUAUGUAGUAGUUUGAGAGGGGUUGAUCGGAAUCGAGAGACCCAACACAAGACAAGGGUUUAGACAGCUUCGGGCCCCGAGAAACAUCAUCCGGUAAUAGCCCUACAUGCAGUUUGUGGCUAGGUCUCAUUAUGCUCAUGAGGGAGUCGCCGGUAAGCCGGCUCUCCUCUAAUUGUGUCUAGCCCUAGAGAUUAUUGCUUCUUGCUUGUCCCCUUCUUUGGAAAGCCCUGCCCCUCCUUAUAUAUGUUGAAGGGGCGGUUUACAUGACUAGUCCUAGUUGGAUUAGGAUUACUCUAUUAGAAGUGGAGUCCUAGUCUUGCUUCCUUUGUAGGAUAAUAUUCCUUGUGUUUUCCUCAUAAACCGGCCCACCAUAACAUGAACCGGCCUUCCAUAAACCGCCUUCUGGGUCACUGGGUCUUGUCGUUCCUCUGACCCGCUCACCGGGUCACCCAUGAGUCUCCAGGCUCGGGCGGGUCACUUAGUGAGUCACCAAGUCCGGCCGGGUUAUACUUCCAGCCGGGUUACACUGCGGGGUAUAUCCCCGACAUUAGCCCCCAAUUUAAUUUGGAUUCAUCCAUGUUAAACUGAUCUGCAACAUAAACACAAGAACAAAUUUGUCGGGUUGUGCUCCGGUUUAAAUAUUCUUAUAAACCGGCACUUGAUCAUCCUUAAGUCCUUGUCAUUUCUUCCUUCAUUGCCAAAAUUGCCGGGUUAUAAAAACUGAUGACCCUGGGUCAUGACCGUUUAUAGACGCCGGGUUAUGAUUGUUGCAAACGCCGGGUCACACCAUUAAUCUUCCUAAUUUGCCCAAAACUGAGAAUUUGAAGAUGUUCCUCGUUUAUAUGCAUAUUACCUGUAGCCCCCAAGUCUUAAGAGGAUAACAUAGUGAUAGCUUAAGACCUGUUUCAAUAUAAAUGUUGCAACCUUGAAGAAAUCCAGUUUGUUUAUCUCAGUUACUAGUCACAACUGAAUAUUCCACAUAUGUAGCCCCCAAGUGCCGGGUUGUUAUGCUUGCAGCAACCUGGGACUUGUAAUUGCCUUAUACUCAUAAAAACUUCAACCAAUGUAGCCCCCAAGGGCCGGGUCAUUAUGCAAUAAUGAGCAGGGACUUUGUAGAUAUGAUCAUGUAGGCUUGAACAGCAACGUGUAGCCCCCAAGGGCCGGCUCAGUAAAAUAAUAUUGAGCUGGGACUUUAUAUAUACUUCAUUGAGAAUAACAUCAUAUGAUGUAACCCCCAUCAUGGGGCUUGAACCCACGUCCACAAGGUUGAGAGCUUUGUGCUUUACCAACUGAGCAGUGGAUCCCUCAAUAUAAUGGUUUAAGACUUGUGUACAUUGAAUUGUUGACAGGAUCAAUUGGUAGCCCCCAUGGGCCGGCUCAUUACAAUGUGAUGAGUCGGGUCUUCAAUAAGGUGAGCAAAAAAUGACUUUGCAUUAGCCCCCAAGUGUCAUGGUGCAUGCUUGCAGCGACAUGAGGCUUGCAUAUUUGAUGUAAUCUCAACUUGAAAUAAUGUAGCCCCCAUGUACCGGGUCGUACGCCUGCAGCGACUCGGGACUAUUCCUUCCCUUGUAGAAUAAAUUAUAUCCAGUGAUAAAAUAAUAGCCAUUGCGCUGAAGCGACUUUGAAAACCUCAAUCAUAAUAUUGGUUAUUGAUAACCAUAAUAAAAUCCAGCCAUGUUGGCUUAUUUAAAGACUUGAAUAAUAUACCCAAUGAUUUAUAAGCGCAUGAUUCCAAUGGCGCAAUCCAAAUAUAUACUGGCGACUUAUAAUCCAAAGCUAGGCCCGGUUAAUAAACACCAGAUAAUUUAUCAUCAUACUGGCGACUGAUAGUCCAAAGCCAGGCCGGGUUAAUAAACACCGAAUAAUUUAUCAUCAUACUGGCGACUUAUAGUCCAAAGCCAGGUCGGGUUAAUAAACACCGGAUAAUUUAUCAUCAUACUGGCAACUGAUAGUCCAAAGCCAGGCCGGGUUAAUAAAAACCGGAUAAUUUAUCAUCAUGCUUUAUUCGACCUGUUUCUUCAUACAACAAGUUUAAAGAGUCCUGGCGGUUUACCACUGGACGGGUCAUAAUGCCCAACAUAUAACCCGGGUUUAUAACCAAGGCUGCACUUAAGAAUAAUCAAAUAUGAAAUAUAUCAUACGUGUGACAUUGAAUCACAUCAUUGGUUUACCAACUUUUUGUAGUAAGGGUGAUAACCCAAAUCUUGAGUACUGAUAACUCCUCUGAUGUCUUGCUGAUUUAUGAUAAAACCGCACCGGGUUGUGAUAAACACCGGAUUAGCCAUAUAUAAAACUGGCGACUUAUAGUCGAAACCAGACCGGGUCAAUAAGCGUCGGAUUAUAACUGAUCAUGUACUGACAACUUAUAGUUGAGAGCCUAGCCGGGUCAAUGAAUGCCGGUUUAUCAAAAACAUUAUAAAUGUCAUCAAAAGAGAAAAAACUUGGCAAAUGAAAGCAGAUGAAAACUUGUAGUCGAGGCUUUUCACGGGCUGCCAGGCCCCAAAUCGAGGCUUUUCAUGGGCUGUCAGGCCACUGAGUUAAACCAUUUCACAAAGCCUUUUAAGAUGGACCUCAAUCUUUAACCAAUCGCCGUUUUAACUUUGACAAGUUCAGGGUCUAUGAGAUUGACUUGUCAAAAGUUCGACGGGUCAUACUAGGUUUACCUGGACGGAGUGGCUUACUUAAAAAGGCAGGAUAACCCGGAGUUUUAGGUGAAUACACCAGGCUUCCAAGCCGUGGCUUGAUAGCCUAUUACAAGUGUAGAUUCUUUGGUCAUUGCGAAGCAAAGAAUCCCCAAGCAAUAUUUUGAGCUGUGCUCAGUGGGUGCCUAUGUUUGAGUUGUGCUUUUGCAACACUCUCUUUGGCCCCCAUGUGAUUUCCCUGGUGGCCUUACGCCGAUCAAGAGGUGUAGCUAUGGUUCGAAUACGACCAAGCCCCCAAGUGAUUUUGUGAGCUGUGCUCAAGGGGCACCUAUGUUUGAGCUGUGCUUUUGCAACAAACUCUCUUUGGUCCCUUUAAUUUUUCCUGAGAACUCGAACUUGCGAGAGAUUAUUCUUUUGAACCGGAAAUUCUUAAACCGGAUAUUGAGAGCUUCCAAGCUUUAUGGAAGAUAUCUUUCCCUCGAACCGGAUUUUAAACCGGAAUCUUCUUUUUCAGCCGGAAAUUUUCUGACGGCCUUUAAACUCGAACUUGUGAGAAGUUAAUUCUUUUUUGAACCAGAAAUUCUUAAACCGGAUUUGAGAGCUUUAGAGCUUUAUGGGAGACAGAUUUGCCUUGAACCAGAUUAUAAACCGGAUGUUUGAGAGCUUCAGUGAGACUGACUUCCCUUGAACUGGAUUUUGAACCAGAAUCCAUUUUGAGCCGGAAAUCUUCUGACGGCCUUUAAAUUUUCACCAAUAUGGCAGUAGCCUCCGGGACCGGGUUAUCUUUCCAUCCAUCGUCCUGGGGUUCUUAAAUUUGCUGAAACUGGCAAGAUUUGCUGAGUCAUGUCAUCGUAGCCCCCGAGUCUCAAAGGUGACUCGAGGAGUUGGCUUGAGAUUCUCCAUAUUUGACCAUGAUAUAAACCGGCAUAAAUUGUAUAUCAUUGGUGUUGAUAGCACGAUGUGAAUCCAUAGAAGGUUGAGGUGAUUGCGGCGGGUUAUGAAUGAUCCCGUAUGAGCCGUGUCAGCAACUCGGCCAAUGGUUCCUUCCAACUGGCUAUUUGAAGUUAACCAAACUGUAGUGGCGGCGACUUGUGCGCCUGCCCAUUGGGCCACCCAGUGCAGACAGUGGUUGAUAGUAUAUGAUAAUUUUCCUCCAUUUUGUUUGAAAGAAAACCGGGCUACCCAAGCUGUGACUUGCUGAUACUCAAUAAACAGCUCAUGGAGACAGGUGCGGCUCGGUAUGUUGAUGUAGACCAGGCCGCGAGAGACGGACAACAAAGAUGACCGCAACAUCAGAGGCAGCUCGGACAAAUGAGUCGGUCGCAUGUCACGGCAUUGCAAGCCGGUGCGGGCGGGGAAAAUCGGCACCGGUGUUGUAAACCGGCACGAACGGGCGAGUUAAUGUAGACCGGGUCCGUAGAGGCGGCGGCUUUGUGCAUGUCCAUUGAACAGCGAUCAAACGCGAUCCCGGCAAGUCGAUGUAGACCGGGCCGCAAGGGUGGCGACUUGUGCGCGUCCACUCAACGGGUAAUAUGUCACGGACUAUCGCCGUGCGAAACAUUAUUAGCCGUGCUCCAUACCCGUGGAAUAAACCACAUUUGUAGUGAAUAAUUAUCCUGUAUACAAAAAUAUACAGAUCAAAGUAAUUGUUCUUUGAUAAAAAACAAUAUGCUUCAGUCUUGGCGUACCAGCAGGCCAAGGCAAAGAUAAACUGCUCUUUGACAAAAAAUAUUAUGUGCUAAUAAAAUAUAUUUUAGAUGGAUAUCACCUAAUGUGUUUAGGCUGGAAGUAAUCCGCCAUGAAGUUGAUGAUUACUAGGUGAAACUGCAAUCACUCACGGGUGAGUCAGCAGCGGCAUUGUAAACCGGUGCGGACGAGAGAGUCGGCCACGGCGUUGUAAGCCGGUGCGGACGGGCGACUGGCCGCAGGCACGGACAGAUGUAAACCGAACAGCGGGGGCCAUGACUUGCACGCGUAUCCGUCGAGCAACAUGACACGGACGGACUCCAGUGCAGAGUUAUGCUGGUGCGCGCUCCAUAUCCGUUGUAUAACACCUUUGUCCUGAAUGACUAUCCUGCGUAAAAAAUAUUACGCGACAAAAUAAUUGUUCUCACAAAUUAAUAUGUGCUCUUAAAACAGACUGGACGAAUAUCACCUGAUUUAUUUUCCGGAUGAACGCGGAUACCAGUGCUGGAUAAUGUUGGACGUAUUCUGGUGCAGCCUUUAGUAUGUACAUAGGACCAACAAAGCGGCAGAUAUAACAGCGGCCGGAGGGGCGACUUGAAAGCGACACCGCAGUGGCGGCCCAAACCCACAGUAGCUGGGGAAAUGGGCGGCUCAGCAUUGUAGCAAGGGUGCCUCGAGGUGAGGACACGGGCGCAGCGACGCGGGAGACGGCAGGGCCGCAAUCGCAAAUCAAGCGGGUGACUCAGCGUGCACAGAUAGCAGUAGUCAGAGGACUCGGCGUGGCGGUCCUCAAUGGAGGUGGGCCACGGCGGCUUAACUGAGGCCUGACCGGUUUGGAAGCAGCUGCUCAGAGCUUUGACUCGUCGUAAAGCAGAGUGAUCACCCACAAGUAUAGGGGAUCGCAACAGUUUUCGAGGCUAGAGUAUUCAACCGAAAUUUAUUGAUUCGACACAAGGGGCGCCAAAGAAUAUUCUCAAGUAUUAGCAGUUGAGUUGUCAAUUCAACCACACCUGGAUAACUUAGUAUCUGCAGCAAAGUAUUUAGUAGCAAAGUAAUAUGAUAGUAGUGGUAACAGUAACAAAACUAACGGUAGAAAAAGUAAUAUUUUUGGUGUUUUGUAGUGAUUGUAACAGUAGCAAUGGAAAAGUAAAUAAGCGAGGAACAAUAUGUGAAAAGCUCGUAGGCAUUGGAUCGGUGAUGGAGAAUUAUGCCGGAUGCGGUUCAUCAUGUAACAAUCAUAACAUAGGGUGACGCAGAACUAGCUCCAAUUCAUCAAUGUAAUGUAGGCAUGUAUUCCGAAUAUAGUCAUACGUGCUUAUGGAAAAGAACUUGCAUGACAUCUUUUGUCGUACCCUCCCGUGGCAGCGGGGUCCUAAUGGAAACUAAGGGAUGUGAAGGCCUCCUUUUAAUAGAGAACCGAAACAAAGCAUUAGCACAUAGUGAAUACAUGAACUCCUCAAACUAUGGUCAUCACCGGGAGUGGUCCCGAUUAUUGUCACUUCGGGGUUGCCGGAUCAUAACACACAGUAGGGGACUAUAGACUUGCAAUAUAGGAUCAAGAACUCACAUAUAUUCAUGAAAACAUAAUAGGUUCUGAUCUGAAAUCAUGGCACUCGGGCCCUAGUGACAAGCAUUAAGCAUAGCAAAGUCAUAGCAACAUCAAUCUCAGAACAUAGUGGAUACUAGGGAUCAAACCAUAACAAAACUAACUCGAUUACAUGAUAGAUCUCAUCCAACCCAUCACCGUCCAGCAAGCCUACGAUGCAAUUACUCACGCACGGCGGUGAGCAUCAUGAAAUUGGUGAUGGAGGAUGGUUGAUGAUGACGACGGCGACGAAUCCCCCUCUCCGGAGCCCCGAACGGACUCCAGAUCAGCCCUCCCGAGAGGUUUUAGGGCUUGGCGGCGGCUCCGUAUCGUAAAACGCGAUGAAUUCUUCUCUCCAAUUUUUUUCUCCCCGAAAUCAAAUAUAUAGAGUUGGAGUUGAGGUCAGAGGAGCUCCAGAGGGCCCACAAGGUAGGGGGGCGCGCCCUAGGGGGGAGGGCGCGCCCCACCCUUGUGGACAGGGUGUGGGCCCCCUGGUCUUCAUCUUUUGCAAGGAUUUUUUAUGAUUUCCAAAUAGAUGUUCCGUGGAGUUUCAGGUCAUUCCGAGAACUUUUCUUUCUGCACAUAAAUAACACCAUGGAAAGUCUGCUGAAAAUAGCGUCAGUCCGGGUUAGUUCCAUUCAAAUCAUGCAAGUUAGAGUCCAAAACAAGGGCAAAAGUGUUUGGAAAAGUAGAUACGACGGAGACGUAUCAACUCCCCCAAGCUUAAACCUUUGCUUGUCGUCAAGCAAUUCAGUUGAUAAACUGAAAGUGAUAAAGAAAAACUUUUACAAACUCUCUUUGCUCUUGUUGUUGUAAAUAUGUAAAGCCAGCAUUCAAGUUUUCAGCAAAGAUUAUGACUAACCACAUUUGCAAUAACUCUUAGGUCUCAUGUUUACUCAUAUCAAUAGCAUAAUCAACUAGCGAGUCAUAAUAAUAAAUCUCGGAUGACAACACUUUCUCAAAACAAUCAUGAUAUGAUAUAACAAGAUGGUAUCUCGCUAGCCCUUUCUGAGACCGCAAAACAUAAGUGCAGAGCACCUUUAAAGAUCAAGGACUGACUAGACAUUGUAAUUCAUGGUAAAAGAGAUCCAGUCAUAGUCAUGCCCAAUAUAAAUUAAUAGUAAUGGAUGCAAAUGACAGCUGUGCUCUCAAGCUAGUGCUUUUUAAUAAGAGGGUGAUGACUCAGCAUAAAAGUAAAUAGAUAGGCCCUUCGCAGAGGGAAGCAGGGAUUUGUAGAGGUGCCAGAGCUCGGUUUUGAAAUAGAGAUAAAUAAUAUUUUGAGUGGCAUACUUUCAUUGUCAACAUAACAACCAAGAGAUGGCGAUAUCUUCCAGGCUACACACAUUAUAGGCGGUUCCCAAACAGAAUGGUAAAGUUUAUACUCCCCCUCAACCAACAAGAAUCAAUCCAUGACUUGCUCGAAACAACGAGUGUCUCCAACUAGCAACAGUCCCAGGGGGAGUUUUGUUUGCAAUUAUUUUGAUUUAGUUUGCAUAAAGCAUGGGACUGGGCAUCCCGGUGACCAGCCAUUUUCUCGUGAGUGAGAAGCGAAGUCCACUCCUCUUGAGAAUAACCCGCCUAACAUGGAAGAUAAGGGCAGCCCUAGUUGAUACAUGAGCUAUUCGAGCAUACGAAAUAGAAUGUUUAUUGGAAGGUUUAGAGUUUGGCACAUACAAAUUUACUUGGAACGGCAGGUAGACACCGCAUAUAGGAAGGUAUAGUGGACUCAUAUGGCAUAACUUUGGGGUUUAAGGGAUUGGAUGCACAAGCAGUAUUCCCGCUUAGUACCAGUGAAGGCUAGCAAAAGACUGGGAAGCGACCAACUAGAGAGCGACAACAGUCAUGACCGUGCAUUAAAAUUAAUAAACAUUGGAUGCAAGCAUGAGUAGGAUAUAAUCCACCAUGAACAUAAAUAUCGUGAAGGCUAUGUUGAUUUUGUUUCAACUACAUGUGUGAACAUGAGCCAAGUCAAGUCACUUAAAUCAUUCAAAGGAGGAUACCACCCCAUCAUACCACAUCACAACCAUUUUAAUAGCAUGUUGGCACCCAAGGUAAACCAUUAUAACUCAUAGCUAAUCAAGCAUGGCACGAGCAACUAUGAUCUCUAAUUAUCAUUGCAAACAUGUUUAUUCAUAAUAGGCUGAAUCAGGAACGAUGAACUAAUCAUAUUUACAAAAACAAGAGAGGUUGAGUUCAUACCAGCUUUUCUCAUCUCAGUCAGUCCAUCAUAUAUCAUCAUAAUUGCCUUUCACUUGCACGACCGAACGAUGUGAAUAAUAAUAAGAGUGCACGUGCAUUGGACUAAGCUGGAAUCUGCGAGCAUUCAAUAAACAGGAGAAGACAAGGCAAUAUGGGUUUUUGGUUAAAUCAACAAUAAUGCAUAUAAGAGCCACUUCAACAAUUUAAUCAUGGUCUUCUCCUAUCGACCCCCAAAGAAAAGAAAAAAAAUAAAAACUAUUAACACGGGAAAGCUCCCAACAAGCAAAAGAAGAACGGGAAAUCUUUUUGGGUUUUCUUUUAAUUAUUAUUACUACGGCAAGAAAAGUAAACUAACUAGAAGCUAUUACUAUUUUUUUUGGUUUUUCUUAAGGUUUGACAAACACACAAGAAGAAAGCAAGAAAAAGAAAAUAAACUAGCAUGGAUAUUACAGUGAAAAAGUAUGAGCACCGACAUCUAGCAAUGAGUGUGUGUAAACAUAAAUGUAAUGUCGGUGGGAAAUACGUACUCCCCCAAGCUUAGGCUUUUGGCCUAAGUUGGUUCAUUGCCACGGAUGGCCUGGCGGAUACCCAUAGGUGUAGCUGGGGUCGUACUGAGAUGAAGAGGACUCUCACUGCCACUGGCUGGCAGUCAUCUCCGGAUCCCAAAAGUAAUCAGAAUGUCGUGGAGGCUCAAAUUGUGGUUCCGGCUCCGGGGCUGGUGUAGGGUUCCGGUAAGCUUGAAUGGCCGCCCACAGAACGAGAUACGGACCUUCAGAUAAAUUAAACAAGGAAGGAGCAGGCAAGGUAAUAGUCUCAGGGUGAUGUUUAUCAAAGAACAAUUUGUAUUCAAGCUCCCCUUCCCUAUUCUUAGCAAUAAAGUCAUGCGCUAACAUACUCUUAUAAUCUAAAUAAGCAUUGGGCAACAAUUUUUCUUCUUUCUCAUAGAGCCUAAUAGGUAUGUUAUAAUGUGCAGCUAGGCGUGAAGUAUAAAUACCUCCAAAGAUGGGGCCCUUAGUACGGUUCAGACUUAACCGUUUAGCAAUAAUACCACCCAUACUAAAAGUGUUCUCGGAAUAUAAACCAUGGAGCAAAAUGAUAAUAUCAGGGACACUAAGGUUUCCACAGUUUCCGCGGCCAAUUAAGCAACGACUAGCAAAUAUAGCAAGGUAGCGUAAAACAGAAAAUGUAUGCUAGUCAUUCUUGCAUCGGAAACCUUCCUGGUUUCCCCCACAGUAAUGGUGUCAAUAAACCCGUCCACAUCUUUGCGAUGUGGUUCAUCUAAGAUACCCUCGAAGGGUAUUUUGCAAACCUCGCAAAAUUCAUCUAGUGGCAUCUUCUUAACAACAUCAUAUAAAUGAAACUCUACUGAGGGAGGUGAUUCCUUAGGAAAAUAGUAGAAGUUUUGCACAAAAUUAUUGGUGAGUAAGAGAUACAGAUGACGUUGGUCGUGGAGGAAGUCAGUGAGGCCAGCAUUCUCAGCCAAUGAAUAGAAAUCAUCAUAAAUCCCGGCUUUUCUCAAGAAAUCAUCCAAAGGCCAUUCACACGGCCGGACCUCCGCGGUGCGAGGCAGAUUAUAUUUGGGCCUCUGUGCUUCUUCAUUUUGCUUUUCCUUCGAGCUUCGGCUCGACGAGCCCCUCAAAAAUCUCUUCAUUAUUUUCUGAAAUAUUCUGAAAUUUUUAGUAACUUCAAACAAAAGUGAACCAACCUCAAUAAAAUUGAUAGCAACUACUCCUACAAGUUCCUAGAGACUAUAGCAUGCAUUAGAAAUACUUGGAACCAUAUAAAUUUAACAUGCAAGCUCAAGAACAUGGUCACCUAGGCAGCACAAAUUUGCAAUGAAUAAAGGACUAGAGCAAAAACUAAUUGGACCAAUGGAGGAGUCACAUACCAAGGAACAAUCUCCCCAAGCAGUUUUGUGAGAGGUGCUUUGAGCAUGGAGAUCGAAAAUCGCAGCAAAAUGAUCUAGAACUCGUGCUUGAGCUGGAUAUUGGUGUUUGUGGGAGGAAGAAGGAGUGUAUGGGUGCAGGAAUAAGUGGAGGAGGGCCACUGUGGGCCCACGAGGCAGGGGGCGUGCCCUGGGGGUAGGGCGCGCCCUCCACCCUCGUGGCCAGGUGCUUGCCCCUCCUGCUGUGUUCUCAGUGCCAGAAAUUCUCAAAUAUUCUAGAAAAAAUCAUAUUCCAUUUUCAGGGCAUUUGGAGAACUUUUAUUUUCGGGGUAUUUUUAUAUUGCACGGAUAAAUCAGAAAACAGACAGAAAAAUACUAUUUUUACUUUAUUUCAACUAAAUAACGGAAUUAGAAAGAGGGUACAGAAGGUUGUGCCUUCUAGUUUCAUCCAUCUCAUGCUCAUCAAAAGGAAUCCACUAACAAGGUUGAUCAAGUCUUGUUAACAAACUCAUUCCGAAUAAUCAUGGAACCGGAGAAAUUUUGAAUAACACUAUGUUACCUCAACGGGGAUAUGCACAUCCCUAAUAAUAAGAAUAUCAUAUUUCUUCUUGACAGUAGGAAGAGGAAAUUCAAAACCUCCAAAUAUAAUCGAUGGAAUUUUCCAAUGGAGUUGAUACUAUGAACUUGAGGUUGUUUCCUCGAAAAGUGUACCGUAUGCUCAUUGCCAUUAACAUGAAAAGUGACAUUUCGUUUGUUGCAAUCAAUAACAGCCCCUGCAGUAUUAAAAAAAGGUCUUCCAAGAAUAAUAGACAUGCUAUCGUCCUCGGGAAUAUCAAGAAUAACAAAGUCCGUUAAAAUAGUAAUGUUUGCAACCACAAUAGGAACAUCCUCACAAAUACCGACAGGUAUAGCAGUUGAUUUAUCAGCCAUUUGCAAACAUAUUUCAGUAUGUGUCAACUUAUUCAAGUCAAGUCUAUGAUAUAAAGAGAGAGGCAUAACACUAACACCGGCUCCAAGAUCGCAUAAAGCAGUUUUAACAUAAUUUCUUUUAAUGGAGCAUGGUAUAGUAGGUACUCCUGGAUCUCCAAGUUUCUUUGGUAUUCCACCCUUAAAAGUAUAAUUAGCAAGCAUGGUGGAAAUCUCAGCUUCCGGUAUCUUUCUUUUAUUAGUGACAAUUUCUUUCAUAUACUUAGCAUAAGGAUUCAUUUUGAGAAUAUCAGUUAAUCGCAUACGCAAAAAGAUAGGUCUAAUCAUUUCAGCAAAGCGCUCAAAAUCCUCAUCAUCCUUUUUCUUGGAUGGUUUGGGAGGAAAAGGCAUGGGUUUCUGAACCCAUGGUUCUCUUUCCUUACCAUGUUUCCUAGCAACAAAGUCUCUCUUAUCAUAACGUUGAUUCUUUGAUUGUGGGUUAUCAAGCUCAACAGCAGGUUCAAUUUCUACAUCAUUAUCAUUACUAGGUUGAGCAUCAUCAUGAACAUCAUCAUUAACAUUUUCAUUAGGUUCAUGUUCAUUACCAGAUUGUGUUUCAGCAUCAGAAAUAGAAAUAUCACUUCGAUUCUCAGGUGGUUCAGCAAUAGUUCACUAGAAGCAUGCAAAGUCCUAUCAUUUUUCUUUUUCUUCUUUUUAGAAGAACUAGGUGCAUCAAUAUUAUUUCUCUGAGAAUCUUGCUCAAUUCUCUUAGGGUGGCCUUCAGGAUACAAAGGUUCCUGAGUCAUCUUACCAGUUCUAGUAGCCACUCUAACAGCAUAAUCAUUUUUCUUACUAUUCAUUUCAUUGAGCAAAUCAUUUUGAGCUUCAAACACUUGUUCUACUUGAGUGGUAACCAUAGAAGCAUGUUUAGUAAUGAGUUUAAGUUCACCUCUGACAUCAGCCUUGUAAUUACCCAAGUGUUCAAUCAUAUAAGCAUUUUGUUUUAAUUGUCUACCAAAAUAAGCAUUGAAAUCUUCUUGCUUAACCAUAAAGUUAUCAAACUCAUCCAAGCAUUGGCUAGCAAUUUUAGUAGGAGGGAUUUUAGCUCUAUCAUAUCUAUAGAGAGAAUUUAACUUUACUACCUAUGUCGGGUUAUUAAGACCAUGAGGUUCUUCAAUAGGUAAUGGAUUAAGAUCAUAUGUUUCUUCAACAGGCGGUAGAUUAAGACCAUGUAUUUGUUCAAUAGGAGGUAAAUUCUUAACAUCUUCAGCUUUAAUACCUUUUUCUUUCAUAGAUUUCUUUGCCUCUUGCAUAUCUUCAGGACUGAGAAAUAGAACACCUCUCUUCUUCGGAGUUGGUUUAGGAAUAGGCUCAGGAACUGGCUCAGGAGCUGGCUCAGGAAGUGUCCAAUUAUUUUCAUUUGUCAACAUAUUAUUCAAUAGGAUUUCAGCUUCAUCCGGUGUUCUUUCCCUGAAAACAGAACCAGCACAACUAUCUAGGUAAUCUCUGGAAGCAUCGGUUAGUCCAUUGUAAAAGAAAUCAAGUAUUUCAUUUUUCUUGAGAGGAUGAUCAGGCAAAGCAUUAAGUAACUUGAGAAGCCUCCCCCAAGCUUGUGGGAGACUCUCUUCUUCAAUUUGCACAAAGUUGUAUAUUUCCCUCAAAGCAGCUUGUUUCUUAUGAGCAGGGAAAUAUUUAGCAGAGAAGUAAUAAAUCAUAUCCUGGGGACUACACACACAACCAAGAUCAAGGGAAUUAAACCAUAUCUUAGCAUCACCCUUUAAUGAGAAUGGAAAUAUUUUAAGGAUAUAAAAGUAGCGAGAUCUCUCAUCAUUAGUGAACAGGGUGGCUAUAUCAUUUAAUUUAGUAAGAUGUGGCACAACAGUUUCAGAUUCAUAGCCAUGAAAAGGACCAGAUUCAACAGAGAAUUCAUAAUCCUUAUCGGUAACACAGAUAGGUGAAGUUGCAAAAGCAGGGUCAGGUCUCAUUCUAUCAUUAAGAGAUUGCUGAUUCCAUUUAGCUAAUAAUCUCUUGAGCUCAUAUCUAUCUUUGCAAGCUAAAAUAGCUAAAGAAGCUUCUUUAUCAAAAACAUAACCCUCAGGAAUAACAGGCAAGUUUUCAUCAUCACUUUCAUCAAUAUAAUCAGUUUCAAUAAUUUCUUUCUCUCUAGCCCUAGCAAUUUGUUCAUCAAGAAAUUCACCAAGGGGUAUAGUAGUAUCAAGUAUAGAAGUAGUUUCAUCAUAAGUAUCAUGCGAAGCAGACGUGGCAUCAUCAAUAACAUGCGACAUAUCAGAACGAAUAGCAGAAGCAGGUUUAGGUGUCGCAAGCUUACUCAAAACAGAAGGUGAAUCAAGUGCAGAGCUAGAUGGUAGUUCCUUACCUCCCCUCGUAGUUGAGGGAUAAAUUGUUGUCUUAGCGUCUUUCCAGUUCUUCAUAGUGACCAGCAGAUAUAAAUCCCAAGUGACUCAAAGAAUAGAGCUAUGCUCCCUGGCAACGGCGCCAGAAAAUAGUCUUGAUAACCCACAAGUAUAGGGGAUCGCAACAGUUUUAGAGGGUAGAGUAUUCAACCCAAAUUUAUUGAUUCGACACAAGGCGAGCCAAAGAAUAUUGUCAAGUAUUAGCAGUUGAGUUGUCAAUUCAACCACAUUUGGAUAACUUCGUAUAUGUAGCAAAGUAUUUAGUAGCAAAGUAAUAUGAUAGUAGUGGUAACGGUAACAAAAGUAACGGUAGCAAAAGUAAUAUUUUUGUUGUUUUGUAGUGAUUGUAACAGUAGCAACGGAAAAGUAAAUAAGCAAGGAACAAUAUGUGAAAAGCUCGUAGGCAUUGGAUCGGUGAUGGAGAAUUAUGCCGGAUGCGGUUCAUCAUGUAACAAUCAUAACAUAGGGUGACACAGAACUAGCUCCAAUUCAUCAAUGUAAUGUAGGCAUGUAUUCCGAAUAUAGUCAUACGUGCUUAUGGAAAAGACCUUGCAUGACAUCUUUUGUCCUACCCUCCCGUGGCAGCGGGGUCCUAAUGGAAACUAAGGGAUAUUAAGGCCUCCUUUUAAUAGAGAAUCGAAACAAAGCAUUAGCACAUAGUGAAUACAUGAACUCCUCAAACUAUGGUCAUCACCAGGAGUGGUCCCGAUUAUUGUCACUUCGGGGUUGCCGGAUCAUAACACAUAGUAGGUGACUAUAGACUUGCAAGAUAGGAUCAAGAACUCACAUAUAUUCAUGAAAACAUAAUAGGUUCAGAUCUGAAAUCAUGGCACUCGAGCCCUAGUGACAAGCAUUAAGCAUAGCAAAGUCAUAGCAACAUCAAUCUCAGAACAUAGUGGAUACUAGGGAUCAAACCCUAACAAAACUAACUCGAUUACAUGAUAGAUCUCAUCCAACCCAUCACCGUCCAGCAAGCCUAUGAUGGAAUUACUCACGCACGGUGGUGAGCAUCAUGAAAUUGGUGAUGGAGGAUGGUCGAUGAUGACGACGGUGACGAAUCCCCCUCUCCGGAGCCCCAAACGGACUCCAGAUCAGCCCUCCCGAGAGGUUUUAGGGCUUGGUGGCGGCUCCGUGUUGUAAAACGUGAUGAGUUCUUCUCUCCGAUUUUUUCUCCCCGAAAGCAAAUAUAUAGAGUUGGAGUUGAGGUCAGAGGAGCUCCAGGGGCCCACGAGGUAGGGGGCGCGCCCUAGGGGGGAGGGCGUGCCACCCACCCUCGUGGAUAGGGUGUGGGCCCCCUGGUCUUCAUAUUUUGUGAGGAUUUUUUAUUAUUUCCAAAUAGACGUUCCAUGGAGUUUCAGGUCAUUCCGAGAACUUUUGUUUCUGCACAUAAAUAACACCAUGGAAAGUCUGCUGAAAACAGCGUCAGUCCGGGUUAGUUCCAUUCAAAUCAUGCAAGUUAGAGUCCAAAACAAGGGCAAAAGUGUUUAGAAAAGUAGAUACGACGGAGACGUAUCACAGAGGAAGUGGUGAACGCAGAAUUGUGUCUGACCUGUCCUGGAUACUGGAAAUCUGAUAUAUCCAAGCAACUUUGAAGAAACUCUACUAUUAACCUUGGGAUCCGUGUGGCUAUUUAUUCCUUGGUUGAUCUUUUGACUACUAGUACUGUUAUCUGUCAGUAUGGAUUGGACCCUUCGUCACGUGAUCCCCUUCUCUUUUUUUCUUAAUCUCACGUAGGAGUGGAUGUAUAAGUCUCCUCGUAUAGUCUUCGGUGGGCAUCGAAAAUCCGACUAGGCCUCGAAUCAGACUCUGGUACUCGUGCGUGUAUUACUUCAAGUAUUUGGUAGUACUAGUGCAAAAAGACUCGGCGAUCAACAGAUCGCUCUGCCUAAAAAAUUUCUUCAUGGUCUUGCCUUGUCCUGACGCAUCGUACGGCUGCUGAUUCGGAUCAGUAUUCCAGCAGAGAAAAACACAACCUCUCUAGCACGAUACAUGAUUUGUCUGGUCACCCAGACGGCAGCUAGGGACAGACAGCAAUCCUAAUUUCUUGUUGAAUCAAAAUUGAUGAAUUUUGCCGGCUCUGCCCAAGGUUAUCCAUCAUGAAUUGUUCUACAUCAUCAUGCCAGCUCUUCUUCAUCCAACUUGCCGUGAGAGCUUCUCGAUCCCUGAAGAAUUCUCUCCAAGAACUCAUCACCACCGUGCGCAGGCCCCACGGUGGGCGCCAACUGUCGUGGAAUUGCCACGGCAGAUGUCCUAGUGUGAGGACUUAGUCGUGAGGCCAGCGCACCUAUGUAGUAGCUUGAGAGGGGUUGAUCGGAAUCGACAUACGCAACACAAGACAAGGGUUUAGACAGCUUCGGGCCCCGAGAAACAUCAUCCGGUAAUAGCCCUACAUGCUGUUUGUGGCUAGGUCUCAUUAUGCUCAUGAGGGAGUCACCGGUAAGCCGGCUCUCCUCUAAUUGUGUCUAGCCCUAGAGAUUAUUGCUUCUUGCUUGUCCCCUUCUUUGGAGAGCCCUGCCCCUCCUUAUAUAUGUUGAAGGGGCGGUUUACAUGACUAGUCCUAGUUGGAUUAGGAUUACUCUAUUACAAGUGGAGUCCUAGUCUUGCUUCCUUUGUAGAAGAAUAUUCCUUGUGUUUUCCUCAUAAACCGGCCCACCAUAACAUGAACCGGCCUUCCAUAAACCGCCUUCUGGGUCACCGGGUCUUGUCGUUCCUCUGACCCGCUCGUCGAGUCACCCAUGAGUCGCCAGGCUCGGGCGGGUCACUUAGUGAGUCGCCAGGUCCGGCCGGGUUAUACUUCCAGCCGGGUUACAAGGCGGGGUAUAUCCCUGACACCGUCCAUAUUCUACCUUUUUAUUUCUUUGGUUGACUGGGUAAUCUUCUUGUUUUCCUUAGAUGCCUAGGGGUAAAGCUCGUAGAAAGCAAGUUCCACCCACUCGUGGAAAAACGGCAGCUGGUGCUAAACCCCGAGGUCGUGGACGCAGGAGUGCCCAACCUAUAGCUGAGGAGAGUGGUGAGGGAUCAGUGGCAGCUGAUGAUGUUGCUCCGCCACCUCAAGCUGAGUGGCGUGAGUUGAUGCAAGAACUCCAUACACUUCGUCAGCAAGCUCAAGCCCAAGCCACAACUCUUGCACCUGCCAAUGCUCAGGGCAUGAUGAAUGAGCCAUUUGGCUCAAGACAAGUCAAUCCUCUUCUCACAUGGUCUAUGGUACACUCUGACACUUUUAAUGGGACUGGGACUCCUAUAGUGGCAGCUGAUUGGUUGCGCAUCAUGGAACGACGCCUUGAGGUCAUGCAAGUGCAACCAGCCCAGAAGGUGAUGUUUGCUACUAUUCAGCUAAAGGGCAAUGCAGGCAUCUGGUGGGAGAAUGUUCGUUCCUCUUUACCACCAGAGCAUGCCACGCCUACUUGGAAGUUCUUUCGAAAUCAAUUCAUUGAGAAGUACUAUCCGGCUUCCUAUGUAGAGAGGAUGGAGAAUGCACUAAGCAAGUUAAGGCAAGGAAACAAAACAAUUCAGGAUUAUGAAACCGAGUUCAACGAUAUCAUCCGCUUUGUGCCAACAGUGGUUAAUAAUGAUAAAGAGAAGGCAAGGAGGUUCAAGGAUGGGCUAGAGCAGCAGUAUCGUGUUGUGCUCAGCGCUGCUGGGUCCUGUAGCUUUGCUUCCUUGGUUGAGAAAGCCAAAACGAUUCGAGUAUAGUAUUUACUUGAUCAAGCAUGGUUCAUAUUCAUAGUAUUACUUGCAACUUUAUUACAUGCUUUGUUGUGUACUCGCUGAGUCUUUGGACUCACCCCUCGUGGACUUUGUUUCAGGUACAUCACCGUGAGGCUUUGCAAGUAUUAGGAAGGGCGUAGCUCCCAUGGGUGUUCACUCACACAUUUCACACCCCUUCCAUCCACCUAGCUGAUCAUGAUAACUCUCAUACUUAGUUCAUGAUUCUUGGUAGCUAGGAUGUACUUGUAGUGUAUAAAAUCUGCCUUGGUUUGUUUCCAUGAUCACUAUGUUUACCUGUGAAG
rnacentral:lncRNA from 1 species